AAAAUUUGGGUGACUGACAUGCAGCUAAGUGAAUUUCUUUUUUUAAAAGCAAAUGUAGUUUAUUCAAUAAGGCAGCAAACAAAUAUUAAACAUAAUUAGAACUAAUCUGCUUUGAAGGUAUUUUUGCUGAACUUUGUACAUUAAAGACUCUCAGAGGUUUUAAGGGUAUUAGGAAGCUGAGACAAGGCAAUUAUGCUGAAAACAGACUAACUCAACAGACUUCCAGGAGCACUAUUUCAUUUUUUCCAAAAGGCAUUUCAGGGUUGCAUGCCUAGGAUUGGGAAUUGGGCAUCCAUCUUGGCUUUAUUCUGAACCAGAUUAAAUUGCAUUGGCUCAUGCACGAUACAUAGGCCAUUAUGAUGAUAAUUUAAGAAUUUUAAAGAUUCUACCCAGGUUAUGGAUAGAAUGUAAUUUUCAUUUAGGUGGGAUAAGGAAAGGCACAAGGGCAUUUAAAGCAGUGCAAGUACUUGAAAAUCUAAGUGUCUAAAACCUGGUUAGUGUCUAACUCAAAUACAGAACUAAAUGUGAGGGCUUGGAGGCAUGGCUUAUUAUUGUUUUUAUCUCCCUGUAUUAAAGUUUUAUAGCAUUUAAAGGACUAUGGGGAAAUCCCCACAUACCCUUAGCUGUGUCAAAAUACAUAAAACCAAAAGGAGCAAAUUAGCAUAAAAUUGAGAAAAACAUGAGACUUAAGUAUCAGCAUGGGUUGCAUUGGCAUCUUUGGAGCCUUGGCUCUGAGAAAUGAGCCUUCUGGGAAACUGGCAUUGCCCUUGGGUGGGGAGGACUCUUGGCUUUAAUGUUAUGAGAAAAUGACAUCAUAACAGAAGUAUGAAAUCAUUCUACUUCACAGCACCCCUGUGGUUCUGAGUAAGAACUUGACCCUGUCCUGUUCAGAUAUGUUAGGUUAGUAUGUUUUACCGAAAGCUUUCCCUGGCCUACUUUUAAUCUUAAGCUUAAUGUUUGCAGAAAUUCAGGGCCCAACUGUUGACAACACGAACUAAUGUCUACAGGCAGAGGAGUCAGUCAAAUGUCUGUGGAAUGAGAAACAUCAUUUAAAAAUUUAAACAUUCCAGGACCUGAAGACACUCCCAAGAUCCCCAAGCACCCAAAUUUUUUCAUGCUGUCCUGCCUUCAUUGAAAUUCCCCAGUACCGUGUUUUCACCCAGGAAAUCUAUUUCAUGUCGUGAGGUUCUGGAAGGAAGUGGAGGUGGAAUCUAAUUUCACUCCCCUUAAAUCUGGUCUGGCCAUAGUGAUUUGCUUGACAGAUACAAUGUGGCAAAAGUGACAUUCAAGGACCUUUGAGGCUAUGUCAUGAGAAGCCUUGCAGCUUCCUCCUGGGCCGCAGUACACUCAUUCUUGGAGCUCUGAGCUACCACUUUUAAAAUUCUGACUACCUUGAUGCCACAACGCUGUAAGGACAUCCAAGCCAGCUCCUACUUGUUAUAGUUUCCAGCCAUUCCAGUCCUACCUGCUGAGGCCUCAGACAUCCGGAGUAGAGAUUAACCCUCCCCACUGUUCAGUGUCUGAAUUUCAACCCACGGAUUCAUGAGCAAAACAAAUGAUUGUUAUCUUGAGUAGCUGCACAGUGUUGGUAACUGA